rnacentral:rRNA from 1 species
GCUAGCGGCAGGCUUAACACAUGCAAGUCGAACGGCAGCACAGGUAGCAAUACUGGGUGGCGAGUGGCGCACGGGUGCGUAACGCGUAUGCAACCUACCUUUUACAGGGGGAUAGCCCGAAGAAAUUCGGAUUAAUACCCCAUAAAAUAUUUACCUCGCAUGGGGUUGAAUAUUAAAGUACCAACGGUAAGAGAUGGGCAUGCGUGACAUUAGAUAGUUGGUGAGGUAACGGCUCACCAAGUCAACGAUGUCUAGGGGGUCUGAGAGGAUUAUCCCCCACACUGGUACUGAGACACGGACCAGACUCCUACGGGAGGCAGCAGUGAGGAAUAUUGGUCAAUGGACGCAAGUCUGAACCAGCCAUGCCGCGUGCAGGAAGACGGCCCUACGGGUUGUAAACUGCUUUUAUAUAGGAAUAAACCCUCGAACGUGUUCGA